rnacentral:rRNA from 1 species
UAGGGAAUCUUCGGCAAUGGACGAAAGUCUGACCGAGCAACGCCGCGUGAGUGAAGAAGGUUUUCGGAUCGUAAAACUCUGUUGGUAGAGAAGAACGUUGGUGAGAGUGGAAAGCUCAUCAAGUGACGGUAACUACCCAGAGAGGGACGGCUAACUACGUGCUAG